GAUGAACGCUGGCGGCGUUCCUAAUACAUGCAAGUCGAGCGAAGCGGGGACGGGUGAGUAACACGUGGAUAACCUCCUAUAAGACUGGGAUAACUUCGGGAAACCGGAGCUAAACCGGAUGCUUAUAGAUGGAUCCGCGCUGCAUUGGCUAGUUGGUCCGGUAACGGCUUACCAAGGCAACGAUGCAUAGCCGACCUGAUAGGGGGAUCGGCCACACUGGACCUGAGACACGGUCCAGACCCCUACGGGAGGCAGCAGGAGGGAAUCGUCGGCAAUGGGCGAAAGCCGGACGGAGCAACGCCGCGUGAGUAAUGAAGGUGUUCGGAUCGUAAAACUCUGUUAUUUGGGAAGCGGUACCUAAUCAGAAAGCCACGGCUAACUACGUGCAAGCAGCCGCGGUAAUAC
rnacentral:rRNA from 1 species